UACGUAGGUGGCAAGCGUUGUUCGGAAUCAUUGGGCGUAAAGCGCGUGUAGGCUGUCUAUUAAGUCGGGUGUGAAAUCCCUGGGCUUAACCGGGGAACUGCAUCUGAUACUGGAUGGCUUGAGUUCGGGAGAGGGAUGCGGAAUUCCAGGUGUAGCGGUGAAAUGCGUAGAUAUCAGGAGGAACACCGAUGGCGAAGGCAGGUCUCUGGGCUGACACUGACGCUCAUGCACGAAAGCGUGGGGAGCAAACAGG
rnacentral:rRNA from 1 species